CCUACGGGAGGCAGCAGUGGGGGAUAUUGCACAAUGGGGGAAACCCUGAUGCAGCGACGCCGCGUGGGUGAAGAAGCGCCUCGGCGCGUAAAGCCCUGUCAGCAGGGAAGAAAAUGACGGUACCUGAAGAAGAAGCCCCGUCUAACUACGUGCCAGCAGCCGCGGUAAUACGGAGGGGGCAAGCGUUAUCCGGAUUUACUGGGUGUAAAGGGGGCGCAGACGGCGAUGCAAGCCAGGAGUGAAAGCCCGGGGCCCAACCCCGGGACUGCUGUUGGAACUGGGUGGCUAGAGUGCAGGAGGGGCAGGCGGAAUUCGUGGUGUAGCGGUGAAAUGCGUAGAUAUCAGGAGGAACACCGGUGGCGAAGGCAGCCUGCUGGACUGCAACUGACGUUGAGGCCCGAAAGCGUGGGGAGCAAACAGGAUUAGAUACCCGAGUAGUC
rnacentral:rRNA from 1 species